CAAGAAGCUAGUUUGACAUCGAUAUAAUGAAGCGAUCUUCUUCAUCCUACGAUUUGGUCCUCCUGGCUAUUAUCGUAUGCUGCUUGCUGCUUCCAUGCUCUGCUGCCAGGGCCAAAGGUGCAACCUUUAAUUUUCCGAGGGGAGUGCGUGGAGGAAGAAUAUGGCGGAAUUCACCAAUACCAGGCCCGCCGAGGAGAAAGAGCCACCCGGGUUCUAGCCAUGAAUAUGCAGCACCACCGCCGGCUGGUACGGCACUUGUGGCCCGGGGCCGCCGAAGCAACAGAACUGCCCCGGGUGUAGCAAUGCCUACGCUCCGCCACCACCGUCGUCUGGUACGGCAGUUUCAGCGCCCCGGCCGCCGAACCAACCGAACUGCCCGGGGUGUGGCUAUGCAGACGCUCUAGCACCACCCGCGGGUACAACACGAGCGGCCCCCGGGCCACAUCACUGCCCGGGGUGUGACCAUGCCUACGCUGUAGCACUUGCGGCGCCACAACGUAAGAAACUUCCUGGCACGAGGUACUGAACAACGUCCCAGGAACCUACACCCGCGGCCACACUACUACUACUGGGAGAGGAGGGAUUGCCCGAUUCAGCAAGCUUUCUGCUAUUAUUAGUGGCCUUGUAUCUUUGGACUCAUCACCAACUAGUUUUCAUUUUUUUUCUCCUA